GACGAACGCUGGCGGCGUGCUUAACACAUGCAAGUCGAACGCUGAAGCUCAGCUUUUGUUGGGUGGAUGAGUGGCGAACGGGUGAGUAACACGUGAGUAACCUGCCUCCUUCUUUGGGAUAACGCCCGGAAACGGGUUCUAAUACUGGAUAUUCACUGGUCUUCGCAUGGGGGUUGGUGGAAAGGGUUUUUCUGGUGGGGGAUGGGCUCGCGGCCUAUCAGCUUGUUGGUGGGGUGAUGGCCUACCAAGGCUUUGACGGGUAGCCGGCCUGAGAGGGUGACCGGUCACAGUGGGACUGAGAUACGGCCCAGACUCCUACGGGAGGCAGCAGUGGGGAAUAUUGCACAGUGGGCGCAAUCCUGAUGCAGCGACGCCGCGUGAGGGAUGGUGGCCUUCGGGUUGUGAACCUCUUUCGCUCAUGGUCAAGCCGCAACAAUGGUUGUGGUGAGGGUAGUGGGUAAAGAAGCGCCGGCUAACUACGUG
rnacentral:rRNA from 1 species